rnacentral:rRNA from 1 species
UACGUAGGGUGCGAGCGUUAAUCGGAAUUACUGGGCGUAAAGCGUGCGUAGGCGGUUGGCCAAGUCAGCUGUGAAAGCCCCGGGCUUAACUUGGGAAUUGCGCUCGAAACUACGUGGCUCGAGUGUGGCAGAGGAAGGUGGAAUUCCACGUGUAGCGGUGAAAUGCGUAGAGAUGUGGAGGAACACCGAUGGCGAAGGCAGCCUUCUGGGCCAACACUGACGCUCAUGCACGAAAGCGUGGGGAGCAAACAGG